UACGUAGGGUGCGAGCGUUAAUCGGAAUUACUGGGCGUAAAGCGUGCGCAGGCGGUUGUGCAAGACAGGUGUGAAAUCCCCGGGCUUAACCUGGGAAUGGCAAUGGAUACUGGCAAGCUAGAGUGCGGUAGAGGGUAGUGGAAUUCCCGGUGUAGCGGUGAAAUGCGUAGAGAUCGGGAGGAACAUCAGUGGCGAAGGCGGCCAUCUGGGACAACACUGACGCUGAGGCACGAAAGCGUGGGGGAGCAAACAGG
rnacentral:rRNA from 1 species